rnacentral:lncRNA from 1 species
AAAAGGAAUGCUUGUAUUUCAUUUCAUUUUAUCAAUCAAUAAACACUUUGAUCACUCUUAUCUCAUGCUUCCUCUCAAGUUUUCAUUCUUCAUUACCAUCUUUAAGAUUUAGAAACAUUUUAUUGCNNAGUACUUAAAUUUGAAACAAAAUUAAACUGGGAAAGCACUAUUCCAGGUUCCUGCAUCUAUAAAGUGUAGACUGCUUGAGCAUGCGAGAGUGGGAGGGAGUAAGGUUUGUUUGAUUUGUACAAGAACAAUC